rnacentral:rRNA from 1 species
GAUGAACGCUGGCGGCGUGCCUAAUACAUGCAAGUCGAGCGAACAGACGAGGAGCUUGCUCCUCUGACGUUAGCGGCGGACGGGUGAGUAACACGUGGAUAACCUACCUAUAAGACUGGGAUAACUUCGGGAAACCGGAGCUAAUACCGGAUAAUAUAUUGAACCGCAUGGUUCAAUAGUGAAAGACGGUUUUGCUGUCACUUAUAGAUGGAUCCGCGCCGCAUUAGCUAGUUGGUAAGGUAACGGCUUACCAAGGCAACGAUGCGUAGCCGACCUGAGAGGGUGAUCGGCCACACUGGAACUGAGACACGGUCCAGACUCCGACGGGAGGCAGCAGUAGGGAAUCUUCCGCAAUGGGCGAAAGCCUGACGGAGCAACGCCGCGUGAGUGAUGAAGGUCUUCGGAUCGUAAAACUCUGUUAUUAGGGAAGAACAAAUGUGUAAGUAACUAUGCACGUCUUGACGGGACCUAAUCAGAAAGCCACGGCUAACUACGU